GAUUGUAUGCUAAUAAAAAUGAUCAACAAUGUUUGUCUUAACGUAACGCCAGCGAUUUGGGCGAACAAUCGAGCUCGCCAUAUUAACAUUCUUAAUUGAUUCCGCAGUUUAUGUGAAAGGGUGAUGUUAAGCCAGACCCAACACUUGAAUAUUUAUGACACUGGUUUUAGAAUGCUAAAAUAUGCAUUUUGUCAGACUUGGACUUAGUGGUGCCUUCUGUAAAUUUCGUUGCUGUACACAUUAUUUGCAUAUUUAUCGUCUGCACUCAAAAUCUAUAAUUUGCACGAAUUCAGUUAUCACUUUCGACCGUGUCAGGAAAUUUGUACGAGUGCUUUAAACCUGCCAUGUGUAUGCGUGAUAUGGCCUUUUGUUAUUCUUACUUUAGUGCGUUGGAGGAACCGCAGCUGUUAUAUAGUGACACGGCGAGCGAACUUGUGAUAAAAGUAAUAAAGGAAAUAAAUUUAUACGUUUCGCACAAAAUAUUACAUACAUUUUCCCAACUGAUGACAUAUCUGGUAUUAGGUUGCACUUCAAAAACUGUCAUUGUUAAUAUGGGUUUGAUUGCAAUUUGUCUCCAAAAACGUGUCGAAGGGGAAAACCGGGGGCACCCCACUAUAUGAACUGUGGCUAGACCAAUAUCCAACAGCACAUAACUUUAAUUUUGAUCCAUGAGCAGACUUAGCUUUCAUUCAUGUAUCUCAGGAAUGAAAUAUAAAACCUUCUGAAAAAUGUGUUUUACUUAUUUUCC